ensembl:snRNA U6 U6 spliceosomal RNA
AUGCUUCAGCAGCAGGUAUAUCCAAAUUACAAUACAGAGAUUAACAUGACACUUGUACAAGGAUAAUAUGAAAAUUCGUGAAGUAUUCCAUAUUUUU